rnacentral:snoRNA from 1 species
CCGCUCUCAGGAUCGCACCUGGAGAGUUUCCAGUACUCUACCAGUCUCGGCUAUGAGGGAGAGUCAAAAAGAGGCCUACUCAUUCCAUUCCUAGCUUGGGCAGUGGCUAGCGAGUGGAAGACAAUCUGCUACAAGU